AGUGAACGCUGGCGGUAGGCCUAACACAUGCAAGUCGAACGGCAGCACAGUAAGAGCUUGCUCUUACGGGUGGCGAGUGGCGGACGGGUGAGGAAUACAUCGGAAUCUACUUUUUCGUGGGGGAUAACGUAGGGAAACUUACGCUAAUACCGCAUACGACCUACGGGUGAAAGCAGGGGAUCUUCGGACCUUGCGCGAUUGAAUGAGCCGAUGUCGGAUUAGCUAGUUGGCGGGGUAAAGGCCCACCAAGGCGACGAUCCGUAGCUGGUCUGAGAGGAUGAUCAGCCACACUGGAAGUGAGCCACGGUCCAGACUCCUACGGGAGGCAGCAGUGGGGAAUAGUGGACAAUGGGCGCAAGCCUGAUCCAGCCAUACCGCGUGGGUGAAGAAGGCCUUCGGGUUGUAAAGCCCUUUUGUUGGGAAAGAAAAGCAGCAGGUUAAUACCCCGCUGUUCUGACGGUACCCAAAGAAUAAGCACCGGCUAACUUCGUG
rnacentral:rRNA from 1 species